GACGAACGCUGGCGGCGUGCUUAACACAUGCAAGUCGAACGGAAAGGCCCUGCUUGCAGGGUACUCGAGUGGCGAACGGGUGAGUAACACGUGGGUGAUCUGCCCUGCACGUCGGGAUAAGCUUGGGAAACUGGGUCUAAUACCGGAUAGGAGCCAUCUUUAGUGUGGUGGUUGGAAAGUUUUUUCGGUGUAGGAUGAGCUCGCGGCCUAUCAGCUUGUUGGUGGGGUAAUGGCCUACCAAGGCGGCGACGGGUAGCCGGCCUGAGAGGGUGUACGGCCACAUUGGGACUGGGAUACGGCCCAGACUCCUGCGUGAGGCAGCAGUGGGGAAUAUUGCACAAUGCGCGCAAGCCUGAUGCAGCGACGCCGCGUGGGGGAUGAAGGCCUUCGGGUUGUAGACUCCUUUCGCUAGGGACGAAGCUUUGUUGUGACGGUACCUAGAUAAGAAGCACCGGCUAACUACGUG
rnacentral:rRNA from 1 species